rnacentral:piRNA from 2 species
UGCCAAUGGUAGGAAUGGAUGAUGAUGA